GGAGAAACGGCAAGUUGAUAGGCGCGGCAGUCACGUUGGCUGACGGGGCUGGAAGGCGACGGAAGAGUGUUAUCCGCGCUCAUCCUGCAACCGGAGCUUAGGGUUGCGUGAAACAGAACGUGAAAGGCCUCGUUAUCCCUGGAAACGGCUGGCUGUGAACGGUGGAUAAUAAUAAAGGAAUUGUUUCGAGCAAGAGGAAUCCGUAUACAUUAUACCGGCCCAUGGCUCUAUACGAACGAAAUGCAAGACGAACAAGAUGGCGAUCCCUUUCCCAGCGUCAUUGGGGCGAUAAGCCCAGUAUCUCUCGAGUGCGCCGGUCCAGCAUUUUAUGAGAGGGUGGCGUGAGCAGUGACAUCUCGGCGACCGUACAAUCCUCCAGCUUCGGGGGACUCGUCGGCCUCCUGUACAACCUCCGGCUUCCAGGAAAACAACUCUGGUACAAAGACGGGGCUUUUGGAAACCACCCCUUCAGGUCCUGUAUCGGAUUUGCUGAUAGUGCGGCGUUCCCCCACUUCGUCACCCAGUAGAUUUUGAACGCGUCACAAAGCGUUAAUGGCUAUCGAGAUGUUGUAUUUUGUAAUAGUCGUUUUUAUUUUCGAUAGUUGUUGCCCUUUACUAUCGUCUCGCGCAAAGCCGCGUCCCCACUAUCGUCGGGAUCAGACCAUAGACGGAACCGACGAUAAGCGAUGAAUAAAACCCUAGGAAGAUCAUCCUCAUAUUAAACAUUACUUUUGGCUUUUUCGCAUAAUUUGUGAAAGAGUGUAUAUUGGGCAGCAAUAUUGUAGUGAUACCUUUUCCUAUGCUAUUCGUUUUCGCGCUUUUCGCGCUUCUUCAGUGGCCAGAGUGGUUCUCCAGGCCACUUUAUCAAUGACAUCAGCUGGCCGUGAACGGUGGAGGAUAAGAGUGGGAUAUAAUCGAGUGGAAGGCAUCGCCAGAAAAUCGCGGCUCUGGGUCAGUAUGACAUAGGCAUUCCUCUCGUUUGAUUAUAUAUUGCUUUCAAUAAUUUUCAUUCAAUUUAGAAUCUGUUUCUUUCACAUUCUUUUUAAUGAUUCUGGGUUGUUUAUUUUGAACUUUCAAUUGAUCAGUACUUGGUAUUUAUCUUUUUAGGUGUCUUCCUUCACUCCGUGUCAACGGUUUCGAGGUUCGGAUAUCUUUGCACUUUAUCUGUUCUUUUUUUUUUUUUUUUUCAUUUGAAAUCGAGCGGAUUCGUCACCUGGCGGACACCGGCUGAACCACGCCGGAUGCUGACACCUGUCACGGGGCUCACAUUUGCAGCUCCUUUGAGAAACUCCCCCCCCCCCUUCCCCCC